rnacentral:lncRNA from 1 species
UGAGUUUUUGGUUGCUGGUGACGUGGCCAAGUCCAAGAUAUUGUAUCACCAGUACUCCCUUUCUCUUACGUACCAGGCUUUUCGAGGGUUGCUUUCGGUUACCGACAAUGUGAUAUGUGUGCCAGAUCCUGGAUUACAAGUUACAAAAUGUUGGUUUUUAUUUCCAAAUAUUUCCAAGUCAUGUGCUUGGCAUGUUGGAAGUAGAUGCUUGAUUUGCAUUGACAGAAUCAGUCUUGGGUUUCUUGGCAGAAUAAUUUUUUUUGAUCAGUAGAUUCCUUGCCUUUCUUGUCUGGAAACCC